AUUGAACGCUGGCGGCAUGCUUUACACAUGCAAGUCGAACGGCAGCGCGGGCUUCGGCCUGGCGGCGAGUGGCGAACGGGUGAGUAAUACAUCGGAACGUGCCCAGCAGUGGGGGAUAGCUCGGCGAAAGCGGGAUUAAUACCGCAUACGACCUGAGGGCGAAAGCGGGGGAUCUUCGGACCUCGCGCUAUUGGAGCGGCCGAUGGCAGAUUAGCUAGUUGGUGGGGUAAAGGCCUACCAAGGCGACGAUCUGUAGCUGGUCUGAGAGGAUGACCAGCCACACUGGGACUGAGACACGGCCCAGACUCCUACGGGAGGCAGCAGUGGGGAAUUUUGGACAAUGGGCGAAAGCCUGAUCCAGCAAUGCCGCGUGUGUGAUGAAGGCCUUCGGGUUGUAAAGCACUUUUGGCGGGAACGAAAAGGACUGUGCCAAUACCACGGUUCGAUGACGGUACCCGCAGAAUAAGCACCGGCUAACUACGUG
rnacentral:rRNA from 1 species